GAUGAACGCUGGCGGCGUGCCUAAUACAUGCAAGUCGAGCGAACAGACGAGGAGCUUGCUCCUCUGACGUUAGCGGCGGACGGGUGAGUAACACGUGGAUAACCUACCUAUAAGACUGGGUUAACUUCGGGAAACCGGAGCUAAUACCGGAUAAUAUAUUGAACCGCAUGGUUUAAUAGUGAAAGACGGUUUUGCUGUCACUUAUAGAUGGAUCCGCGCCGCAUUAGCUAGUUGGUAAGGUAACGGCUUACUAAGGCGACGAUGCGUAGCCGACCUGGGAGGGUGAUCGGCCACACUGGAACUGAGACACGGUCCAGACUCCUACGGGAGGCAGCAGUAGGGAAUCUUCCGCAAUGGGCGAAAGCCUGACGGAGCAACGCCGCGUGAGUGAUGAAGGUCUUCGGAUCGUAAAACUCUGUUAUUAGGGAAGAACAAAUGUGUAAGUAACUAUGCACGUCUUGACGGUACCUAAUCAGAAAGCCACGGCUAACUACGUG
rnacentral:rRNA from 1 species